rnacentral:rRNA from 1 species
CGAGAUUCCCCCAGUAGCGGCGAGCGAACGGGGAGCAGCCCAGAGCCUGAAUCAGUGUGUGUGUUAGUGGAAGCGUCUGGAAAGGCGUGCGAUACAGGGUGACAGCCCCGUACACAAAAAUGCACAUACUGUGAGCUCGAUGAGUAGGGCGGGACACGUGGUAUCCUGUCUGAAUAUGGGGGGACCAUCCUCCAAGGCUAAAUACUCCUGACUGACCGAUAGUGAACCAGUACCGUGAGGGAAAGGCGAAAAGAA